GACGAAGGAUGCAAGCGUUAUCCGGAUUCAUUGGUUUAAAGGGAGCGUAGGUGGCCUUAUAAGUCAGUGGUGAAAUCUCUCGGCUUAACCGAGAAAUUGCCAUUGAUACUGUAGGGCUUGAGUAUAGUUGCCGUUGGCGGAAUAUGACAUGUAGUGGUGAAAUACAUAGAGAUGUCAUAGAACACCGAUUGCGAAGGCAGCUGACGAAACUAUAACUGACACUGAGGCUCGAAAGUGCGGGGAUCAAACAGG
rnacentral:rRNA from 1 species